UGUUUAGGGUUACUAUGGUGACGAGUAACAAAGUGCUGGUGCUGGGAGCCCUGACUGACCGAAGUUCGGAGGGUGAAGUACUGGUGUAUCUAGGGCACAGGGCUUGCACCAUGCCAGUGUACAUAAGAAAAGGACCUUUAGAAAUACCUCCAGGAUCUGAGAAAGACUGGGCCAAUGAAGAACAAGAGGAAGAUUAUUUUCUGAAGGAUCCAGACCAGUCACGAGACUGUCUACCACAGCCAUACAAGAUGAUUGCCAAAGUAGUGGAGCUUCUCAUUGACCAGACAGUGCAAGUGAUCAACAUACGGGAGCAAAAACGAGAAGCAGAGAAACUCACAGCAAAAAUCCGUGUCCUGCAGCCAACUACUGAAAUCCAUGUGUCCAAAAGAGUUCACAGUAUGGCUGUUGGGGGCUCAUAUUUAUUUGUGGGUCUUUCGGAGGGACUGGCAGUGUACAGCUUAACUGAUCAGGACUGGAUUUGUGGUUGGGAUGCUAGUAAAGUAGAAGUCUGUAACCUCAACGUGUGCCAGGUGCAAAACCAAGUCUACUUCCUCAGCACAGUGGAUGAUAUGGGUAUUGCCCGCCUCUUUUGCUUCUCUGAUGAAAACCUCAGUUUUAUGAAAUCCUUUAAUGAGCCGGAAGAUAUAAGUAAGAGGACCAACUGCAUAGUCUUUCACCUGUCUCAAGGAGGGGAUUAUGCUGGCAUUCUUUUAGAAGGUGUGGGAGAUACUUGUCUGGAAGUAUUUAAGUUGCCCAAGGAUAUCUGGUUAAAGGAAUUGGAAUCUUCUCAAACAGCAUUGCUGGCACCAAAUACAUCACCAUCAGACUCCCAGUCAGCUAGUACGCCUGUUAUCACCGACCCAAAGAUCACACAACCAGUACUUGUAAUGAAGAUUAGGCCACCUAAACCACUUACAGGAAGUUUCUUUAGAAGUGUACAGGAGGCUGUGCAGAAGAAUGAAGACAGCAAUGUGCUUGGCACCGGGCAGAAUCACUUGCACACUUCUCAUCAGUGGGAUCAACAAGAUUCAGUAUUUAUGCGAGUGUAUGAAAAGUAUCUGAGCUUAGAUUUACCAAGCACAGAAGAAGUAAGGAUGUCAAGGUACACUAAGUUUCAUUUUGUCCAGCAUAAUAAAAUGAUGCAUAGAGAUUCGGAGCCGAUGAAUGCAGCUAUACCUAAUGCCAUAAUUGUGCAUUGGGAUUCAUGCCAAAAUCAUCUCAUGUACCUCCUGGGCAAACAGACAAAGGACAAAACAGAUGGUGAUAUAAAACCUGAUGUAGUGUGGCCAUGUGCAGCUCCUAUAAGAAUCUCAGCAGUCAGUUCUUGCUCCGCAUACUUUGCUUUUGGCCUUGAAGAUGAAACACUUUCACUUUGGGAUAUGAAGUAUUCUGGAUUUCCAAUGGGUGUUGUUGUCCUGCCAGAGGGAAAAUCCAUUGAUAAUAUUCAUUUCUUGGAGCAUGUCACUUCUAAUGGAGAUCCUCCAGCUGUACCCAGAGCCCAGGUGCUGGUGUGGUGUACUGAUAAGUCUCUCUACCUUGUGACUGUGGCAGGGGGAAAGGAGUCCAGCCUUGUUCUUCUCCAUGACAGUGCCGGCUCUUCUGAUGAACGGAUAAGUGCAGUGGCCCCAGUCCCCUCACUUCCUAAUAGUGUGCUUAUAUUUUACCGCAGCGGAAUGGUAAAGCUUAUGGACGUUGGUGAACGACAACUGAUUUGCCAGUUUGGUCUCCCUUUUCCCUAUAAAGUAGCUUUUCCCUGGCAACCAGUGUAUGUUCUUGAUGCAGUAAACCACUGUCUUUUUCUUAAAGCAAAUGAGAACAGGGUUUCUGGAGAGAUUUUGACCCAUGAAAAUUCAUCUUGCGCUCUACUUGCAUUCAGUCUGGACAGUUUGGAUUCUGUGGUAAAACAACCAGCCGCCCUCCCCUUACAAAGUUUACACUGGGAAGAUAGAUGCAAGUCAUUGUUUCAGAUGAGGUUACAAACUUUUUCAGAAAGGAAAAAGCAGAUAGCAGAAUCAUGGUCAUGUCUCAGAAAACAAGCCACCGAUUUUACACUGAGCAACACCCUCAGCAGGUGAUGGAAGAACAAACACUCACAAAGCUACUUUAUUAAAAACUCAUUUAUUUUUUUAAAUUACUCACAAAGAAAAGCACCAGGAUGAUAUUGGACUGUUGGAUUUUCCGCCUAAAAAUAGUGUUUUAGACCUUUUUACAGGACAUGGGUAGGAAUUCUGUACUCCAAUAUAUUACUCUUCACAGUCUUUACAUGCAGUGCUAUAUAUCGGUGAAUUAUGCUUACCAUACUGAUUUGUAAUUGUCAGUAACAUUAUUGUCUUAUUGCUAGGGGUCUAAUACCUGUAUCAACCCCACAAUUCAAAAAAUUGCCUUGGUCUGUCUUCUUGUUUCCUGCAAGAUUUUUCUUCAUAUACUCGUUUACUGUCCAUUAAAACUUGUAGAGUAUACAGAAACAACACAGAGUACUUAUAUGUCAUAAUUUUAAUAUUUUAAAUGCAGCAUGUUUAGUUAAGUACCUUCAUGUAGACAAUCUUUAUAGGUGCAGACCCAUGAAUAUGAUACAGACAGGUAACCGAAUAGCAGUACUAUAAAGGCUUUCUCCAUACACAUUAGAGAUAUGUUGGCGAAUGUAUUGAGUAUCUAAUGUGCAUGGAUUUCAAACGCCCAAUCCCUUUGUUCUUGGAAAAAUAAGCGACUGCCAGAAGAGUCCCCAUUAAGAAUACAUGAACACUUAUCCAAGCUAAGAAUUCAUGUAUAUGGGUGAAUCAGGAGAGAUAGCUGUUAGUUGAAUGAGUGUUCCACCAUCAGCUAUCGUAUCUGUAUGACUACUUAAAAACUUUGGGGGAGAUUUAUUAAGGGACUUAGAGAUCUUUUUUUGCUUAAAAAAGUCGCAUCUGCACCUAAGCAAUUUUUUUGUGCGACUUUUGGCUGUAAGCAAAAUCUACAAAAGAGCUUGCCAAAGCAAAUUUCAGUUUUCACUUUGCAGUGGUCAGGGAUUGAUCAAGUGCGACAGUCGCACAAAAGUCGCAACCGCCUCCGAAACCACAGCUCCUGUGGGAAAUAUGAAAUCACAUCACCCGCUCUCCUCCUGUGUGUCAUGUCCCCCCCCCACCACCGCCUAUCUUUGCCUCACCGCUGCUCGCAGCAGCCCCCACUCCACAUCUCCCAUCCGGCGGCUAGCCGUUACGGGACUACAACUCCCAGCAUGCCCUAACAGUGAGGACAUGCUGGGAGUUGUAGUUGCAACAGCUGGUAGUUGUGGGCGGGUAGCCAGGGAGCGGAGCUGGCCGGCUGCAAGGAAUAUGAAACUACACUGUAACUUCAUAUUUCCUGGCCUGAGCUGUAAUUGGCUGAACCCCCCUGCCUAUUGCCAACAUCCCCCCCUGCUUAUUGCCAACAUCCCCCCCCCCGCCAAUUGCCAACACCCCAACCCCGGCCGCUCUCCUCCCGUGUGUGUAACGUCCCCCUCACCGCUGCCUAUCUUUGCCUCGCCAAUGCUUGCAGCAGCCCCCACUCCAG